CUAUGAGCCUGGACGGCCAUAUCCAAUAGUGAUGCAAAGAUUUUCCGUUCCCUGUUUUACAAGAGGCCUCUCUGUUUAAAACGCCAAGCGCCUUGUGAUGCCAUGCCUUUCCUGCUGCCCUCUACCUUCCUCUCAAAGGGAGAAGGAAGUUCAUUUGGGAGUGGUUGGGUUCCUAGCCAACCUUUCCUCACAUCCUGGGCGCCACCGGGACAGAUGAGUCCCGGCUGAAGGCAGCGCAGGAAUUCAGGUGUAAUGGAUGGUACUCCAGUAGCCAUUUUGGACCAUGAGAUGACCUUUGGAAUGGAAGCUGCAUGUGGCAAAGCAAACUUCACAAGGAGCCUGGGUUUCUGUCACCAAACCAUCCCUGAACUGCUUAGCUCUGGACUUAUUACAAUAGAGAGACCUAAAUAUUUGCCCUACUUAAGCCACUGUUAUUUUGGGUUUUCUCUUCCUUUGGCCAAACUUAAUUCUAAAUAAUGUAGCAUCCACUGGGCACUUCACAUCCACUGUCUCACAGAACAUCUGCAACGCCUCUGUGAAGUUCCAGAACUGCUCGUCCCAUCCCCAGUCGUGCUCCACCCCAAUCCACUCUCUCAGGAAUGGCCUGAUUGAAUCUUCCCACAUAAAUCGCCUCACAGCACCUCUGCAUGGAAUCUUUCCAUGGUGUUUUGGUUAUCUAAUGCUAGAUAACAAAUCACCUCAAAACACUGGCUUAAGAAACAAUAAUUUCAGCUUCUGUUGGUCAGGAAUUCGGGAAGGAGUCAGACUGGCAGCUCUCACCUGGGGUCUCUCGAAUGGUUGCAGUCGGAAGUUGGCUGGGGCGGGCUGCCGUCACCUGGAGACCAGACAGGGCUCUCCAUCCAUAGAGCAUCCAUAGAGCGCCCCUCAGAUGGCUCGCCCACACACCCGGGGAAGCUGCUGGUAGCUGGGGGCGGGGACCUCAGCUCCUGCCCACGUGGCCUUCUCUGCAGGGCUGCUGAGUGUCCUCUGGGCAUGGAGGCUGGCUUCCCCCAGAGGGAGCAAUCGCAGGCAUGAGGUGGAAGCUGCGUUGCCUUGUAUGCCCUGGCCGUGGAAUCACACCCCAUCACUUCCACCCUGUUCUCGUGGUUGGGGAAGUUGCUCGUAUCUGGCUGGGGUCGAGGGGAGAGAACAUUGAUCCUGCCUUUCCAUGAAAUUGUGUCAAUUUUCAAUUGUGGAAUCAGAGAACAAAGACUGAUGGCUUCCUCACGGCGUGCUGGAAGUGCAGGUGGCAUUAUCUGGGGUCCACGUGUGCCCUUCCCUCCAGCUGACCAGACCGAGGCAAAGUUCCAUCGAAGUGUGUGCAAGGUCCCAUCUCUUGUCACUCCCGCCAUCCUGCUGCAAUCCCAUGCCUGGGGCUGCCUCUCUGCCUCAGCUCCUGCCUGCCUGCCACACAUCUUCCGGCCUCCACUAGCCUGGCCAGCAACUUUGCAUCUCCUCUGGGUUGUACCCACUCGUGUAUCUGGCCCUCACACAACACCAGGAGCUCUUAGGACGGUGCUGGACAGAGGUGGAACCCAAUUAAAGAUUGUUAAGUCAAUGAACAAUUUAAGGAGGAAAUACUUAAUGCCAAGAACAGUGUCUAGGAGAGAGACCUCUAAUAAGGAAUUUUGGGGUAAAAUGCUGUGUGUUGUGCUCUAUAAAUUUCUCUUCAUUCCCCUAGCACCGUCUUUAGUAAAAUCUACAGUGC
rnacentral:lncRNA from 1 species